rnacentral:rRNA from 1 species
GCUCAGAUUGAACGCUGGCGGCAGGCCUAACACAUGCAAGUCGAGCGGUAGCACAGAGAGCUUGCUCUCGGGUGACGAGCGGCGGACGGGUGAGUAAUGUCUGGGAAACUGCCUGAUGGAGGGGGAUAACUACUGGAAACGGUAGCUAAUACCGCAUAACGUCGCAAGACCAAAGUGGGGGACCUUCGGGCCUCAUGCCAUCAGAUGUGCCCAGAUGGGAUUAGCUAGUAGGUGGGGUAACGGCUCACCUAGGCGACGAUCCCUAGCUGGUCUGAGAGGAUGACCAGCCACACUGGAACUGAGACACGGUCCAGACUCCUACGGGAGGCAGCAGUGGGGAAUAUUGCACAAUGGGCGCAAGCCUGAUGCAGCCAUGCCGCGUGUGUGAAGAAGGCCUUCGGGUUGUAAAGCACUUUCAGCGGGGAGGAAGGCGUUAAGGUUAAUAACCUUGGCGAUUGACGUUACCCGCAGAAGAAGCACCGGCUAACUCCGUGCCAGCAGCCGCGGUAAUACGGAGGGUGCAAGCGUUAAUCGGAAUUACUGGGCGUAAAGCGCACGCAGGCGGUCUGUCAAGUCGGAUGUGAAAUCCCCGGGCUCAACCUGGGAACUGCAUUCGAAACUGGCAGGCUAGAGUCUUGUAGAGGGGGGUAGAAUUCCAGGUGUAGCGGUGAAAUGCGUAGAGAUCUGGAGGAAUACCGGUGGCGAAGGCGGCCCCCUGGACAAAGACUGACGCUCAGGUGCGAAAGCGUGGGGAGCAAACAGGAUUAGAUACCCUGGUAGUCCACGCCGUAAACGAUGUCGAUUUGGAGGUUGUGCCCUUGAGGCGUGGCUUCCGGAGCUAACGCGUUAAAUCGACCGCCUGGGGAGUACGGCCGCAAGGUUAAAACUCAAAUGAAUUGACGGGGGCCCGCACAAGCGGUGGAGCAUGUGGUUUAAUUCGAUGCAACGCGAAGAACCUUACCUGGUCUUGACAUCCACAGAACUUUCCAGAGAUGGAUUGGUGCCUUCGGGAACUGUGAGACAGGUGCUGCAUGGCUGUCGUCAGCUCGUGUUGUGAAAUGUUGGGUUAAGUCCCGCAACGAGCGCAACCCUUAUCCUUUGUUGCCAGCGGUUCGGCCGGGAACUCAAAGGAGACUGCCAGUGAUAAACUGGAGGAAGGUGGGGAUGACGUCAAGUCAUCAUGGCCCUUACGACCAGGGCUACACACGUGCUACAAUGGCAUAUACAAAGAGAAGCGACCUCGCGAGAGCAAGCGGACCUCAUAAAGUAUGUCGUAGUCCGGAUUGGAGUCUGCAACUCGACUCCAUGAAGUCGGAAUCGCUAGUAAUCGUAGAUCAGAAUGCUACGGUGAAUACGUUCCCGGGCCUUGUACACACCGCCCGUCACACCAUGGGAGUGGGUUGCAAAAGAAGUAGGUAGCUUAACCUUCGGGAGGGCGCUUACCACUUUGUGAUUCAUGACUGGGGUGAAGUCGUAACAAGGU